UCACUGGCUCCACCUUGAGGCGUCCUCUGUAGCUGCAGUCAAAAAGUAGCAUGGCGUCCAAACUCAGUUUAAGGGAAUUUGACUCUCCGAGACCAAACUCGGAUGUGAGCAGACGGCACAAGGACGACAAUUUUAUAACAAAUGCAUGGCGUAGUAUGACCGCGGCGUUCCAUCAGAUAUCAGAGAAUGAAGCGAGAGAUUCAAGUCAUCCUCAGUCAUUUCUCGGCCAACAGAGAAUGUCUGCUGCACUCAGGAGGGUCCGGCUUGGCAAGGAUAAACCAGGAUAAAACGAUGAACUUUGAACUUUCCGUUGUUAUGAGUGAUUGGUGAGACAAAGUCACUGGCUCCACCUGCUGGACACUGAAUGCGUUUACAUGCACAAUUAUGCUGAUAGGGUAGUCAUAAAAUAGCCUACUGAAUAAAUACGCAGAUAAGUAAAUGUCAGAAAAUGUUCUGGCCAAACUAAGUUUUCCCAGAUAGGGUAUUGUCCUCUGGUAUUAAUAUUAUUUAAUCAACAUAAGUCAUCAUAUUUCAGUCUUCUGCAAACACACACACGUGUGAGAUUCCACGUGUCUUAUUUUUGUUUGUACAACAGUAGCUUGUUUUAUUUUGUGGUGAGAAUUUAACUGUUUUAUUUGAGUGCAAAAACAACCAGUGAUUUUUAGAGUGUUUUUUUUAUUUUUUUUUAGCAAUAGUAUGGAAGCCUGUUUCCGCCACUGAAUAAGAAAUAAAAAAAAAGGUUAUUGCGACUUUUUAUCUCACAAUUCUGACUUUUUUUUCACAGAAUUGUGAGAUAUAAACUCGCAAUUGCGAUUUUUCUGACUUUUUUUCUCGCAAUUCGGACUUUUUUCUCAGAAUUGUGAGAUAUAAAGUCUAAUUUGGGGGGGGACGACUGAUGUGUUCUCAGAAUUGCGAGUUUAUGUCUCACAAUUCUGACUUAACUCACAAUUGCCUGUUUUAAAAUCAGAAUUGCAAGAUAAACUCGCAAUUCUGAGAAAAAAGGUCAGAAUUGUGAGUUUAUAUCUCGCAGUUCUGACUUUAUUUCUCAGAAUUGCGACUUUUAUAUCUCACAAUUAUGACUUUGCGAGUUUGUAUCACGAAUUCAGAAUUGUAUCAAAAAGUCAGAAUUGUGAGAUAAAAAGUCGCAAUUGCCUUUUUAUUUUUUUUAUUCAGUGCGGAAACGGGCUUCCAUACAAUAGCCAAUGAUUACAAGCCAAAAAUGGAUUGUUUGGAUCGCUAGUGGAACAUUUUCUUUGGUCCUCAUGAAGUAGGCUAGGCUACUUUGAACAUUUUAAUUUACAUUAUACCGUUAGAUCUUUGAUGAU